AUUGAACGCUGGCGGCAGGCCUAACACAUGCAAGUCGAACGAGUGGCGGACGGGUGAGUAAUGUCUGGGAAACUGCCUGAUGGAGGGGGAUAACUACUGGAAACGGUAGCUAAUACCGCAUACCAUCAGAUGUGCCCAGAUGGGAUUAGCUAGUAGGUGAGGUAACGGCUCACCUAGGCAACGAUCCCUAGCUGGUCUUAAAGGAUGACCAGCAACACGGGAACGUAGACACGGGCCAGACUCCUACGGUAGGCAGCAGUGGGGAAGAUUGCACAAGUGGCGCAAGCCUGAUGAAGCAAUGCGGCGUGUAUGAAGAAGGCCUUCGGGUUGUAAAGUACUUUCAGCGGGGAGGCGUUACCCGCAGAAGAAGCACCGGCUAACUCCGUGCCAGCAGCCGCGGUAAUUC
rnacentral:rRNA from 1 species